rnacentral:rRNA from 1 species
AGUGAACGCUGGCGGUAGGCCUAACACAUGCAAGUCGAACGGCAGCACAGUAAGAGCUUGCUCUUACGGGUGGCGAGUGGCGGACGGGUGAGGAAUACAUCGGAAUCUACUUUUUCGUGGGGGAUAACGUAGGGAAACUUACGCUAAUACCGCAUACGACCUACGGGUGAAAGCAGGGGAUCUUCGGACCUUGCGCGAUUGAAUGAGCCGAUGUCGGAUUAGCUAGUUGGCGGGGUAAAGGCCCACCAAGGCGACGAUCCGUAGCUGGUCUGAGAGGAUGAUCAGCCACACUGGAACUGAGACACGGUCCCGACUCCUACGGGAGGCAGCAGUUGGGAAUAUUGGACAAUGGGCGCAAGCCUGAUCCAGCCAUACCGCGUGGGUGAAGAAGGCCUUCGGGUUGUAAAGCCCUUUUGUUGGGAAAGAAAAGCAGCAGGUUAAUACCCCGCUGUUCUGACGGUACCCAAAGAAUAAGCACCGGCUAACUUCGUG